UCUCAACCCUAACCUUUUUAAAUGAUCAGCUGGGAAGGAAGAAGAUAUCAGAGUUUUGAACUAGAAGGAGCAAGCUUCAAGGACAAGUGUUAAAAUGAGAAUUCUUUGAAUCAGUUCUUGGGAAAUUAAGCUAGGGAACAGAUAAUGGUAGAGCCUAAGGAUGACUUCUGGGCAAGAGAAACCAAGAAUUUGUGAAGGGAAAACAAGAACCAGACGGGAGGAGAUAAAGACUUGAGCAGCUGGAGUAUUGGAUCGUUUGCCUGCUAUCCCAGCACUUGAAAACAUCCAGGACCAUGGAAAGAACUGAGGUGUGCAGGGUACUUCCUGGGCCAUUGCCAGGUCAUUUGCUGCUGGAGAGUCAUCUUUUACCACUAGCAAAAGAAACGGAAUUCACAUCAGAGGAUGGACCUGGGUCUUCUUAUGGAAUGUUUCUAAAAAUCGACUGCUUCCGGAUCAUGAGAAAAUAACCAGCGAGAGUAUAACAGAAAACUUCCAGGUGGCAAACUGUUGUAAGAAGGCAGGCCCUAGUAAACCUUUUGAUCACAGAGGGGGCGCUUUUGUUGAU